AACACAAUUUUACCAAGUAUUUUAGGUCUAGUUUCUAGUGCAAAUUUCUUAGUACACUUGGAAUAACACUAAAUUAACUUACAGGUAACUUUUCAGCAAGACAUCGGAGCUUUAUUUAAAGUCAU